rnacentral:lncRNA from 1 species
CACAAAUUUCCCUCUCACAAUCCCCCCUGUGAAUCUAUAAUUGUAUAUAAUUUGAGACUUGUAUAUUGCAAGAUUUGUCAUCCUUUCCUUCCUUCCUUCCUUCCUUCCUUCCUUCCUUCCUUCCUUCCUUCCUCCCUUCCUCCCUUUCUCCCAUCUUCCUUCCUUCCUUCCUCCCUUUCUCCCAUCUUCCUUCCUUCCUUCCUCCCUUCUCCCAUCUUCCUUCCUUCCUUCCUUCCUUCCUUCCUUCCUUCCUUCCUUCCUUCCUUCCUUCCUUCCUUCCUUCCUUCCUUCCUUCCUUCCUUCCUUUCUUUCUUUCUUUCUUUCUUUCUUUCUUUCUUUCUUUCUUUCUUUCUUUCUUUCUUUCUUUCUUUCUUUCUUUCUUUCUUUCUUUCUUUCUUUCUUUCUUUCUUUCUUUCUUUCUUUCUUUCUUUCUUUCUUUCUUUCUUUCUUUCUUUCUUUCUCUUCCCUUCUCUCUCCCUCCCUUCCAC